AAUUUUGGACAAUGGGGGCAACCCUGAUCCAGCCAUCCCGCGUAUGCGAUGAAGGCCUUCGGGUUGUAAAGCACUUUUGGCAGGGACGCAAAGGCUCUUGCUACUACCUGGCGCUGCUGACGGUACCUGCUGAAUAAGCACCUGCUAACUACGUGUCAGCAGCCGCGGUAAUUCGAAGGGUGCAAGCGUUAAUCGGAAUUACUGGGCGUAAAGCGUGCGCAGGCGGUUCGGCAAGAAGGAUGUGAAAUCCCAGGGCUUAACCUUGGAACUGCAUUCUUAACUGCCGGGCUAGAGUAUGUCAGAGGGGGGUAGAAUUCCGCGUGUAGCAGUGAAAUGCGUAGAGAUGCGGAGGAAUACCGAUGGCGAAGGCAGCCCCCUGGGAUAAUACUGACGCUCAUGCACGAAAGCGUGGGGAGCAAACA
rnacentral:rRNA from 1 species